rnacentral:rRNA from 1 species
UGUGAACUGCAGGACACAUGAACAUCGACAUUUCGAACGCACAUUGCGGUCCACGGAUUAUAUUCCCGGACCACGCCUGGCUGAGGGUCGUUUAUCAAUUCAUACCAGACUGUUCGUUGUUUUCAACGAACGAUGUAUUGGGUGUUCGUUGGGCGAUAUGGUUAGUAGUUUUAUUCUCUGUCGAACGCUCGAAGAAAAAGUGAAAACCAUUCGCUACGGCGUCACCUGAAAUGAUUGAAGAAAUGAAAUUUCAUGUCGUAAUUGAGAGCCAAUAUUCAAAUAAAAUAGAUUCCGAAUAAAAAGAAUCGCAAAACAUAGCGAUGAAAUUGUGUGUCAGAAUGAGAAACGCAAUCGAGAUAUUCUCUGAUUUCCAAUUACGCACGAACCGUUGAACCAUGGUCUUCGGGCUAUACCGUCUAGUAGUCUCUUCGAACGCAAAAUCGUUGUUGUCGUCGUCGUCGUCGUCGUCGUACUAUCUUGAACGCAUCGAUAGUACGUUCGCUCGUACGACUCAAUAGUAGACACACAACGAAAGAGGCGAAGAACGAGUAUGCCGUUGUAACCGGCGUUUAUUACGAGUUUGUUGCAUAGGAAAAUGCGUUUCUUACCGCUACAUGACUGAAUCGAUAUUCGUACAUUGAUCUCGAACGACGAGUCCAUGAGCUUAUCUUCCAAUUGAACGCAAUAGAAACAAGCGGGACCGUCGAAUCGGAUCUAUCGUAAUCGAUAGUCGUAGAUGGUUCAAGAAAUCGAAAAACAACGCAAUCGAAUAGAGAGAAAAUCAUUAACGAUGGUCGUUUUUGAACGCAAAACUCAUUUUGUACACACAGCCGCAUGUAUUGAUAAUGCAAUUCUAAAUUUCGAGUUCGAAUCUAUCGCUAUAUUGGCACGAGAUAUAAAUCGGCGAAAUAUUCAUUUUCUUCUCUUAACCAGUAGCAAUGCCGCUACUGGUGUGUUUGUUGUUGUACCGGUUAUCUUAAUGAUAUAUCGCACAACACAACGAAUUAAAAACAAAUUAUCAAUGACGACCUCAGAGCAGGUGAGACUACCCCCUAAAUUUAAGCAU